UAAGGGCAGGUCUAGUAUAGCAUUAUGCCGUGAAACUGCGAAUGGCUCAUUAAAUCAGUUAUCGUUUAUUUGAUAGUACCUUACUACUUGGACAACCGUGGUAAUUCUAGAGCUAAUACAUGCUGACAACCUCGACUUACGAAGAGGUGUAUUUAUUAGAUAAAAAACCAACGCCCUUCGGGGCUUCUUGGUGAUUCAUAAUAACUUUACGGAUCGCAUGGCCUUGCGCCGGCGACGGUUCAUUCAAAUUUCUGCCCUAUCAACUUUCGAUGGUAAGGUAUUGGCUUACCAUGGUUUCAACGGGUAACGGGGAAUUAGGGUUCGAUUCCGGAGAGGGAGCCCGAGAAACGGCUACCACAUCCAAGGAAGGCAGCAGGCGCGCAAAUUACCCAAUCCCGAUACGGGGAGGUAGUGACAAUAAAUACUGAUACAGGGCUCUUUUGGGUCUUGUAAUUGGAAUGAGUACAAUUUAAACCUCUUAACGAGGAACAAUUGGAGGGCAAGUCUGGUGCCAGCAGCCGCGGUAAUUCCAGCUCCAAUAGCGUAUAUUAAAGUUGUUGCAGUUAAAAAGCUCGUAGUUGAACCUUGGGUCUGGCUGGCAGGUCCGCCUCACCGCGUGUACUUGUCCGGCCGGGCCUUCCUUCUGGAGAACCUCAUGCCCUUCACUGGGCGUGUUGGGGACCAGGACUUUUACUUUGAAAAAAUUAGAGUGUUCAAAGCAGGCCUUUGCUCGAAUACGUUAGCAUGGAAUAAUAGAAUAGGACGUGCGGUCCUAUUUUGUUGGUUUCUAGGACCGCCGUAAUGAUUAAUAGGGACAGUCGGGGGCAUCAGUAUUCAAUUGUCAGAGGUGAAAUUCUUGGAUUUAUUGAAGACUAACUACUGCGAAAGCAUUUGCCAAGGAUGUUUUCAUUAAUCAGUGAACGAAAGUUAGGGGAUCGAAGACGAUCAGAUACCGUCGUAGUCUUAACCGUAAACUAUGCCGACUAGGGAUCGGGCGAUGUUAUUUUUCUGACUCGCUCGGCACCUUACGAGAAAUCAAAGUUUUGGGUCUGGGGGAGUAGUCCCCU
rnacentral:rRNA from 1 species